rnacentral:tRNA from 1 species
GCACCAGUGGUGUAGUGGUAUCAUACAAGACUGUCAUUCUUGCAACCUGGGUUCAAUUCCCAGCUGGUACA